rnacentral:lncRNA from 10 species
CCUGGGCAAUAAUUAUGAUGGCCAAGAAUGACAGUCUGAGAACGACUGCUCUGGAAGAUUUUAUCUGUGACCCAGAGCUUUGACCCUUUUGGGGAUUUGGUGUGUCAUGUCCUUACUGCUGGAGUUUGCUUUAGUUAACAAAAUCUGUCAUUGCUCCCAAAUCACUUGGUAGGGGUUAUUCAUUCUUCCUUGAGUUGAGCUUCUUUAUCUUUGCUGUUAAUAAAAUGUAAGUUUCAAACAUAGCAUGGAGGAGGAGUGCAGGGAGCACGAGGGCGUGUGGGGGGGCGUCUCUGUUGGGAACUCAGGGAAGAUGUUCUUGAUCUGAUUAAUUAUUCAACCAAAAUGACAGGCUGGAUUCUAGGCACUGGGAGUACCCUGAAGGGGCUUCUAGUAAACCUGUCCUCUGCAUUGGGUCUUGGAAGAUAGGGGGAAUUUGCCCAAGGAAGAAGGGGAAAAGAACAUUGCAGGCAGAGGGAGAAGUCUGGACAAAAAGGGUGACUGGCCUGCUUGAAGAACAGGAAGUCAUCCAAGUGGCUAUAACUAUAACAAAAGGUAGGGAGGAGACGUGGAAAGAGUUUGGGGGAAGGCUGUGAAGAGCUUUGAAUGUCAAGAGAGGGAGUUUGAUCUUGGUCCUUUAGGUCAUAGGGAGCCCCAGUCAAUUUUAAAAUCAGAAGAGCCAAAUUUAUUUUAUUUUAUUUUUAUUUAUUUAUUUAUUUUUAGACGGAGUUUCGCUCUUGUUGCCCAGGCUGGAGUGCAAUGGCAUGGUCCGGGCUCACUGCAACCUCUGCCUCCCAGGUUCAAGCGAUUCUCCUGCCUCAGUCUCCCAAGUAGCUGGGAUUACAGGCAUGCGCCACCACGCCCAGCUAAUUUUGUAUUUUUAGUAAAGAUGGGGUUUCUCAAUGUUGGUCAGGCUGGUCUCAAACUCCUGACCUCAGGUGAUCCACCCCCCUCGGCCUCCUAAAGUGCUGGGAUUACAGGUGUGAGCCACUGCUCCCGGCCAAAACCCCAUCUUAAAAAAGAAAGAAAGGAAGGAAGGAAGAUAAAUCUAGCUAUAGUAUUGAGCUAUAUGGGAUGGAACAGAGGGAGAAAAAGAGACCAAUGGCUGGAAUGUGUUGUGGUUUGACGAUUUCUAGCCCUGGCUCAACUUAAGAAUGGAAUUACUUGGAGUUCCCAGAAUGGAUCCAACUGUUUCAAGCCUUCCUAAAUGCUCUUCCCUGUGCCUGGGAUGCCCUUCCCUCAGUGUCGGUCUUGCUACCUCCCAUUCAUUCAUCAGUAUUCUAGCCAAACAUCAUCAAUGUCAGGUAGGCUCCCAGUUGAUCCAGGUGUCCAACUCUGGGCUCCCAUGUGAUCCUGAGUAGUACGGGCAUUUAGCGAUCUUUUCCUGAUUUGGGAGCACUGUAGUAGUGCCUUCUGGGCCUUCUCCACCACCCAAGUGGUAAGCUCCUUGCAAGCAAAGCUUCGUCUGACACAUUUUAGUGUCCUGACUCCAAGCCCUCUCCUGUCUUCCCCCACAGAAGCCCUAGAACUGGGCUGCAGCUGACCACUGGGAAGACAGGAAAGACUGUGAGACCAACUGUAUGCCAUGUGGUCCUGAAAAAUGCGAAAAUGGAGUGGCAAGUCCUGAGAGCCACCAGCUAGUGUCUGAGGCCUGGCAUCCCUUUCUGGGAGGCCUCGUGUGAAAGCCAGUGGCAUUCUGCAGAUGUGAGGUCGUACUUCUGAAUACGCAGCAAAAUCCUGGGGCCAAAUGCUUUGACAGAUGAAUUGAGGCUAGAAAGAGAGUUGGAGAAGUGGUUUGACAGCAGGGCUGUAACCACAAUACCUAACAUGGGUAAGUCACCAGGUGGCAGGCUCUGAGCUAAAAUUCAUCUCAUUGCAUCUUCAUGACAGUACUGUUUAUACAUAAAGAAACAGAAGCUGGCCGGGCAUGGUGGCUCACGCCUGUAAUCCCAGCACUUUGGGAGGCCGAGGCGGGUGGAUCACCUGAGGUAGGGAGUUUGAGACCAGCCUGACCAACACGGAGAAACCCCGUCUCUAAUAAAAAUACAAAAUAAGCUGGGCAUGGUGGCGCAUGCCUAUAACCCCAGCUACUUGGGAGGCUGAGGCAAGAGAAUCGCUUGAACCCGGGAGGCAGAGGUUGUGGUGAGCCGAGAUCUUGCCAUUGUACUCCAGCCUGGGCAACAAGAGCAAAACUCUGUCUCCAAAAAAACAAAAGAAAAAAAGAAAAAAAAAAAAAACAGAAGCUGCAAAGGGUUAGGGGUUAGAGGACAUGCACACAGGCACCCAGGUAGAAGGGGACACUCAGUCUGGCUGCCCAGAUGACAGAAGAGAGAUUGUCAGUCCAGGUUUCUUUGCAGCAAACAGCAAGCUUGCAAGCUUGGUAUGUGCGGAGGCCACGCUGUAGGUAUGGGGAAGAGAACUCAGGAAGAGGAGAAAGACAGGAAAGCAGCAUAAAGGCUUGCAAAAAAAUUAAAAACAAAUAAAAAGCAGAUGAGUCAAAAGAGUCUGCAGCUGAGUCCCUGACAGUCGACACUGAAAUGGACAUAAGCCUUUAUCCUGAGGAAGCAUCCUUGGCAUUAAAGACUCAUAGGAGGCCCAGGCUGUGAGUGUCAUCAUUCCCCCAUGUUAUAGCUUAGGACCCUGAAGUCAGAGGCUGUAACUUGAGGAAUGGGCUCAGGGCAGAUCUUGGCACUGAACCCAAAUGUGACAAGAAGAGAGACAGGUGGGCCCAAUGGCAGACCUCUAGUCUAUCCAGAAAUGACACUCCACAUAUGGUUAAUAACUCCUAGAGAUGGGAGUGAGGGGUGAGCAUGGCUUUUUGAGGUUAAAUUAGUUAAUAUAUAUUAAAAUAUUAAAAUGAAAAUAAAUUAUGCCUUGCUCAAUAGUAUUAAUGAUAGAACUUCUCGUACAAAAAUAAAUUACAGAAAGAACCAGAAAACAAACUCUAACAAUUUGUUGUUUAUGUAGAUGUAUAGCAAAAUAUAUACACAAAUUUAAAAAACAAAAUGCUGAGCUAAACUCUACCAGGCAAAUUCAAGAAAAGCAGGGGGCUUCAAUUAUAAUAUUUGGAAAAGACAAGUUUAAGCUAGAAAUAUUAAAAGAGGCAAAGAGGGUACUUAGCAUAGUUUUUCUUUUUCUUUUUUUUUUUUUUUUUUUGAGAUGGAGUC